CAUGCAAGUCGAACGCUUUUUCUUUCACCGGAGCUUGCUCCACCGAAAGAAAAAGAGUGGCGAACGGGUGAGUAACACGUGGGUAACCUGCCCAUCAGAAGGGGAUAACACUUGGAAACAGGUGCUAAUACCGUAUAACACUAUUUUCCGCAUGGAAGAAAGUUGAAAGGCGCUUUUGCGUCACUGAUGGAUGGACCCGCGGUGCAUUAGCUAGUUGGUGAGGUAACGGCUCACCAAGGCAACGAUGCAUAGCCGACCUGAGAGGGUGAUCGGCCACACUGGGACUGAGACACGGCCCAGACUCCUACGGGAGGCAGCAGUAGGGAAUCUUCGGCAAUGGACGAAAGUCUGACCGAGCAACGCCGCGUGAGUGAAGAAGGUUUUCGGAUCGUAAAACUCUGUUGUUAGAGAAGAACAAGGAUGAGAGUAAAACGUUCAUCCCUUGACGGUAUCUAACCAGAAAGCCACGGCUAACUACGUGCCAGCAGCCGCGGUAAUACGUAGGUGGCAAGCGUUGUCCGGAUUUAUUGGGCGUAAAGCGAGCGCAGGCGGUUUCUUAAGUCUGAUGUGAAAGCCCCCGGCUCAACCGGGGAGGGUCAUUGGAAACUGGGAGACUUGAGUGCAGAAGAGGAGAGUGGAAUUCCAUGUGUAGCGGUGAAAUGCGUAGAUAUAUGGAGGAACACCAGUGGCGAAGGCGGCUCUCUGGUCUGUAACUGACGCUGAGGCUCGAAAGCGUGGGGAGCGAACAGGAUUAGAUAC
rnacentral:rRNA from 1 species